rnacentral:rRNA from 1 species
CGUGAAGGCGAGCACUCUAGACGAACUGCCGUUGACAAACGAGGAAGGUGGGAUGACGUCAAAUCAUCAUGCCCCUUAUGUUCUGGGCUACACACGUGCUACAAUGGCCGGUACAGACGGACGCAAAGCCGCGAGGUGGAGCAAAUCCUAAAAAGCCGGUCUCAGUUCGGAUUGCAGGCUGCAAUUCGCCUGCAUGAAGUCGGAAUCGCUAGUAAUCGCAGGUCAGCAUACUGCGGUGAAUACGUUCCCGGGCCCUU